rnacentral:sRNA from 1 species
UCUUCAGGAUCGCUAGGGUUCCGGUCGUGCGGCAUGUGCCGUGCGAUGUCUGGUCCGAGAGCAAUCCGGUCUUGCCUUCGCCUCGAUGAGAGGAAACGGCGAGGCUCCACGGAGGGAUAAAAGCCCGGGAGGU